CGGCAUGUCUAGUAUAGCAUUAUACAGCGAAACUGCGAAUGGCUCAUUAUAUAAGUUAUCGUUUAUUUGAUAGUACCUUACUACUUGGAUAACCGUGGUAAUUCUAGAGCUAAUACAUGCUAAAAAUCCCGACUUCGGAAGGGAUGUAUUUAUUAGAUUAAAAACCAAUGCCCUUCGGGGCUCACUGGUGAUUCAUAAUAACUUCUCGAAUCGCAUGGCCUUGCGCCGGCGAUGGUUCAUUCAAAUUUCUUCCCUAUCAACUUUCGAUGCUAGAGUAGUGKUCUAGCAUGGUUACAACGGGUAACGGAGGGUUAGGGCUCGACCCCGGAGAAGGAGCCUGAGAAACGGCUACUACAUCCAAGGAAGGCAGCAGGCGCGCAAAUUACCCAAUCCCGACACGGGGAGGUAGUGACGAUAAAUACUGAUACAGGGCUCUUUUGGGUCUUGUAAUUGGAAUGAGUACAAUUUAAAUCCCUUAACGAGGAACAAUUGGAGGGCAAGUCUGGUGCCAGCAGCCGCGGUAAUUCCAGCUCCAAUAGCGUAUAUUAAAGUUGUUGUGGUUAAAAAGCUCGUAGUAGAACCUUGGGCCUGGCUGACCGGUCCGCCUCACCGCGUGUACUGGUCCGGCCGGGCCCCCACCAAUAGUCUAACCGCAUGCCCUUCACUGGGUGUGUUGGCGAAACUAUAUUUUUACUUUGAAAAAAUUAGAGUGCUCCAGGCAGGCCUAUGCUCGAAUACAUUAGCAUGGAAUAAUAGAAUAGGACGUGUGGUUCUAUUUUGUUGGUUUCUAGGACCGCCGUAAUGAUUAAUAGGGACAGUCGGGGGCAUCAGUAUUCAAUUGUCAGAGGUGAAAUUCUUGGAUUUAUUGAAGACUAACUACUGCGAAAGCAUUUGCCAAGGAUGUUUUCAUUUAUCASGAACGAAAGUUASGGGAUCGAAGACGAUCAGAUACCGUCGUAGUCUUAACCAUAAACUAUGCCGACUAGGGAUCGGACGAUGUUAUUUUUUGACUCGUUCGGCACCUUACGAGAAAUCAAAGUGCUUGGGCUCCAGGGGGAGUAUGGUCGCAAGGCUGAAACUUAAAGAAAUUUGACGGAAGGGCACCACCAGGGGUGGAGCCUGCGGCUUAAUUUGACUCAACACGGGGAAACUCACCAGGUCCAGACACAAUGAGGAUUGACAGAUUGAGAGCUCUUUCUUGAUUUUGUGGGUGGUGGUGCAUGGCCGUUCUUAGUUGGUGGAGUGAUUUGUCUGCUUAAUUGCGAUAACGAACGAGACCUUAACCUGCUAAAUAGCCCGUAUUGCUUUGGCAGUACGCCGGCUUCUUAGAGGGACUAUCGCUCAAGCCGAUACUU
rnacentral:rRNA from 1 species